rnacentral:rRNA from 1 species
UACAGAGGUCUCAAGCGUUUGUUCGGAUUCAUUGGGCGUAAAGGGUGCGUAGGCGGCGCGGUAAGUCGGGUGUGAAAUCUUGGAGCUUAACUCCGAAACUGCAUUCGAUACUGCCGUGCUUGAGGACUGGAGAGGAGACUGGAAUUUACGGUGUAGCGGUGAAAUGCGUAGAUAUCGUAAGGAAGACCAGUGGCGAAGGCGGGUCUCUGGACAGUUCCUGACGCUGGAGGCAACGAAGGCCAGGGGAGCAAACGGG